rnacentral:rRNA from 1 species
GGAUGCGAUCAUACCAGCACUAAAGCACCGGAUCCCAUCAGAACUCCAAAGUUAAGGGUGCUUGGGCGAGAAUAGUACUAGGAUGGGUGACCUCCUGGGAAGUCCUCGUGUUGCAUUCC